rnacentral:rRNA from 1 species
GACGAACGCUGGCGGCGUGCCUAAUACAUGCAAGUAGAACGCAGUUGCGAACGGGUGAGUAAAGCGUAGGUAAAUGUCUCAUAGCGGGGGAUAACUAUUGGAAACGGUAGCCAAUACCGCCUACAGGUAGAUGGACCUGCGUUGUAUUUGGUAGGUGGUGAGGUAAAGGCUCACCAAGGCGACGAUACAGUGCCGACCUGAGAGGGUGAUCGGGCACACUUGGACUGAGACAAGGCCCCGACUCCUACGGGAGGCAGCAGUAGGGAAUCAUCGGCAAUGGACGGAAGUCUGAACGAGCAACGCCGCGGGAGUGAAGGAGGUCUUUGGAUUGUAAAGCUCUGUUGUGCGAGGAGCGUUACCUGACGAGAAAGGGACGGCUAACUACGUGCCAGCAGCCGCGGUAAUAC